UAAGUAGGCUAAAUGACCGCGCCUGCGAAAGCAGGUGAGGAAAGUCCGGGCUUCACAGGGCAGGAUGCCGGAUAACGUCCGGUGGAGGCGACUCCAAGGCCAGUGCAACAGAAAUAAACCGCCAGGGCUUUAGAGCGGUGCUCGAAAGCCCGAAAGAAUCGGCGCAGCUGAUUUCUUUCAGCUCAAUGCAGUUUACUGCAUUGAGGUUGGUAAGGGUGGAAAGGCAGUGUAAGAGACUACCGUCCGUCUGGUAACAGACGGGGCUAUGUAAACCCCAUCCGAAGCAAGACCAAGCAGAGAACCAUAAGUCGGCCCGGCUUGUUCUCAGGUAGGUCGCUGGAGGCUGUUGGCAACAGCAGUCCAAGAUAGAUGGUCAUUGCCCUGCAUUGCAGGGAACAGAACCCGGCUUAUCGGCCUGCUUAUAAA
rnacentral:RNase_P_RNA from 1 species